rnacentral:lncRNA from 1 species
ACUACUUUAAGCUUAAUUAGGACAGAUUUUUUGUGCUGUUGAAGUAAUGAGACAAAACACAAUAAUCAGAUCGUACCAAACUUAUAUAUUAUGUAACUGCAAGUUUGUCCAUUAAGAGGAAAAACACCAAAUAUACUAAUCAACUGCAUGCUUGCAGGUUUAUAUAUAAAUCCAAAAUAAGAAUGAAAUCAGAAGCAGAGCCAGCUUGUCAUAGAACAUAUUACUAUUUAUUAAAAAAAAAAACAAACAAAAAUCUGAACUAAUUAGGUAGAAAUGAGAAACAGAAAUGUAAGCAAGUGAUUAUACGCAAUACAUGAGGCAUGUACAUCUUUCUUGUCCUGAAUUCGGUGACGAAAACAUAAUGCAAUUUGGUGGUUCUUGAAUGUCCAGAUAGAAGCGAAAACUUGCACUCUCAUCUCCUGAUCAUCAAAAUGUAUUUUCACACACCUCAAAUCAACAAGUAAUCUUCACAAAAACUAAUACAACCCAAUCAUGUUUUCAAUUCCAAAUUUUUCCAGGCAUUCAAAUGAAAGUGGUGGAAUGAAGAGUAAAAUUAGUACCUUUGCCAGACCCAAAAUGGCCAUAAAGGUCUGAAAAACCACACGCCAAUCAUACGAAAAUAGAAUUGACAAACAA